UGCCGCUAGCGUGACGUAUAAUCUAGUGGACGGUUCUUCAUAAACAGCUAGUCAACCACCUCGGUAGCUUGCUAGCCAACAUAGCCGGAAGAUUCAAGCUAUUUAGACGCUUUCGGUGUAUAUUAGCUUCUGUGUUUUAGACACGCUUCUGUCUUAUUUACUUGUUAACCUAUUUAAUAUUACGUUUUUAUUAGUCAGCUAUAGUAGCUGGCUGGUUAAGUUAGCACUAGCCUAGUCGCUAAUGAUAGCUAGCUAGCUAACAUCCACGAACAUGAGCUCCCUAAACUACUCCCCUCCUGUUAAAGAAGAGGAGGUCUGCUGGACGGAGAAAGAAGCUCUGGGGCUGAACAUUGUCGUGAAAGAAGAGAAGGAAGAGGAGGAUGUCACAGUAAAACAAGAAGUAGAGGGUGAGGCUGUUACCGUGAAAGAAGAAGAGGAAGACUCGUUCAGAGUGAAAGAGGAGGAGGCUGUUACAGUAAAAGAAGAGGAGGAUGCAGUUUUUGGAGUGAAGAAGGAAGGAGAGAUUACUGUCACAUUGAAAGAUGAAGAGGUGGAUAUCAGAGAUCUGAGUAACACCAGAGAGAGACGUGGCUAUCAUGGAUCCUCUGGGGAGCCUCAACAACAACAUCAUGAUGCUGACGAGGCAGAGAAGAGUCUUUCCAUAUCAGAAUUCCUCAAGAAACACCAGCAGAGACCCACAGGGAAAAAAUCUCAUUGCUGCUCUGACUGUGGGAAGAGAUUCACCUCCUCAGCAGGCAUUACAAUUCAUCAGAGAAUCCACACAGGAGAGAAACCUUAUUGCUGUGAUCAAUGUGGGAAGAGAUAUCUUACAUGUAGCAGUCUGACUAAACACCAGAGAACACACACAGGAGAGAAUCUUUUUAGCUGCUCUGACUGUGGAAAGAGUUUUGUUUCUUCAGGAUGUUUAGAAUCACACCAGAGAACACACACAGGAGAGAAACCAUAUAGAUGUGAUCAAUGUGGGAAUAGAUAUGUUACAUCUAGCAGUCUGACUAAACAUCAGAGAACACACACAGGAGAGAAACCGUAUAACUGUAAACAAUGUGGGAAGACUUUUAGUCAGUCAUUCAGCCUGAUAUCACACCAGAGAACACACACAGGAGAGAAACCGUAUAGCUGUGAUCAAUGUGGGAAGAGUUUUGUUACUUCUAGCAGUCUGACUAUACACCAGAGAACACACACAGGAGAGAAACCUUAUAGCUGUGAUCAAUGUGACAAGAGAUACUCUAGUAAAAGAUCUCUGAUCAAACAUCAGAAAAUACAUACAGGAAGGAGUUGUUUCACGAUAUCAAUGAAAUAGAAUCUCACUAUUUAGAAUGUUUUAACGUUGUAGUAGGAGUAUUUUAAUGUUGUCAUAAUGUAGAACCCUAAAUAUUUGUCCCCUGUUCUAUUGAUUUCAGCAUAAGGAUAUUGGCCUGGCUCUGAAUUGAAAAGAGUACUAUUUAUGUGAUCUAACAAAAAGUGACUAACAAAAAAAUAGUUGUGUUGCACUUACCGCGUUGGCGACCCACUUGAAUCAAUAUGUAGCUAGCUGUUUUCUACAAAUUGUCUUCUAACCAGUGAUGUACACAUUAUUCCCAGAUUCCGUGUGUUUUUUGAACUGUUCGUUUUAACAGGACGUGUAAGUGAAUUAUUGCCAAUACAUAUGAAAAAGGGAUGUACAUUUGGUGUUGAUAUUUUAUAUUUACAAUUCAUGUAAUAUUUAGUCAUUGUGAUUAUUUAUGCAACCAACUGACAAUUUUUGAUUGCAAUUAUAUUGACAUUGUUGCCCUGCUUUUAGAAUAUCAGGGUUUAUUCUCAGAUGUGCCAACCCAAAUGUACUAGAGAAUUACAUUAUGGACUGGGCCCCGAUCCAACAACAUGCCUAUCAAGUGUACCCUGAAAAAAGAGAGAAGCUCCGCAGUGAGGUGUAAAGUUACUAAGGAUAUUGCAGGAUUUCCCUCUUGAAAUCAGACAUGUCCGUGGUAAGGACAACUCGGUUGCUGAUUGUCUCAAGGGUGGGCAGUCAAAAAUAUUUGUGUUUUGUGUUUGCCAGUGCGUUACCAUGGAUCACAAUUUAUUUUGACUGUACAUUUUUUCCGUAUUGUUUAUUUUGACUGUACAUUUUGACUGUACCAAUCACUGUACAUUUCCGUAUUGUUUAGGUUCUAGAGUUCUGAUUCUUUUUUGUUUGGGGGAUACCUAGUCAGUUGUACAACUGAAUGCAUUCAACUGAAAUGUGUCUUCGGUACACUGAUUGGUGUCACCUCGUUAGUCAGUAUGUGUUACACCUGUGCUGGCUUGUCCAUCUCGUUAGUGGGAAGGUGUUUCAGCUGAGCUGGUCCAGGUGCUAUUUAAGAGUGUCUAGCCCAGUGCUCCAGUUGUCUUGAUAGAUGUGGAGAGUCAACACCUUUAGUUGAUCUACCUUUUUUGUUAAAGAUGUUUUCAUUUCAGGUUGAAGCUUCUUUCUGAAGAGAGCUUAUUUUUUUAAAUGAAUCAAUACAAGCAAACAAGAUCGGUUCCGGGGAUUGGUAUGGCAAAUACCUUACGAUUUGCCUGGACUGAAAAGGAGAUGGAGCCGUGGAGUAGAGAGACAUUUGGAAGGACCAUUUUGAUGGGAUGCCUCAGGAUAGAGGUGAAGGAAGUGCUCUGCCUUCAAGGGAACCCGAAUGAGAAGGCUUUCGAUGUGACGUUUCACAAAGAAGAAAAACAUGACGAAGUAAUGAAGAUGGCAAAGGAAGCGGAGAAAACGGGACCCCUGUGCCAUUAUGCGGUGACCAGCCUUGCAAAGAACAACUUCAGGGUGGUCACCGUAACCAUGUACAAUCCGCAUGUGAAAGAUGAAGAGGUGAGGCCUUUCUGGGGAGGUACAUGGACAAUGUCUCCUCAGCAAGGUACCUCAGGGACUCCCUGGGUUUCUGGAACGGGAGGAGAGGGUUCCAGGCGUUACUCAGGGAGUCCCCGAAGAGUGUGGAUGGCUACCUCCAUCCUCCGGCGAUGUUCUCCCUGGGGGCUGACAGGGGAACACUCUACUAUGCCCGUCAGCCCCCGUUCUGCAGGCGUUGUAUGGCCUACGGCCAUAUCCUGGCCUCGUGCAGCGCCAAGAUUUUGUGGGUCGGAAGAGCACGAGGCCAAGGAAUGUGACGAGCCCAAGGCUUGCCACGGGUGUGGCUCGAGCACACCUGUGGCGUGAUUGCCCGGCUCGUCACAGGUCAUACGCGUCUGCAGCUGGGGGGGGGGGAGCGGGGGAUGGGGGGAGGAAAGAGAGGACGCAUGCGGAUUGUACGGAUGGCACAGGGGAAAGGACGAAGAAGGGAAGAAGGAAGAGGCGAAAAGAAAGAGGAGAGAAGAUGGAAAGAAGGAAAAAGAAGGAGAGAUUAAAAAGAAGGUGGAAGAACGUGGAGGAGCUGAGAAGAGGGAGAAGGGGACAGUGGCACGAGAAGGAGUGGAAGAGGGAACGGGGACAGUGACGGAG